rnacentral:rRNA from 1 species
UACGAAGGGGGCUAGCGUUGCUCGGAAUCACUGGGCGUAAAGCGCACGUAGGCGGAUUGCUAAGUCAGGGGUGAAAUCCUGGGGCUCAACUCCAGAACUGCCUUUGAUACUGAAGAUCUUGAGUUCGGGAGAGGUGAGUGGAACUGCGAGUGUAGAGGUGAAAUUCGUAGAUAUUCGCAAGAACACCAGUGGCGAAGGCGGCUCACUGGCCCGAUACUGACGCUGAGGCACGAAAGCGUGGGGAGCAAACAGG